GACGAACGCUGGCGGCGUGCUUAACACAUGCAAGUCGAACGAAGUGGCGAACGGGUGAGUAACGCGUAAUCAACCUGCCCUUCAGAGGGGGACAACAGUUGGAAACGACUGCUAAUACCGCAUACUGAAGGAGGGGAUUGCGUCUGAUUAGCUAGUUGGCGGGGUAACGGCCCACCAAGGCGAUGAUCAGUAGCCGGGCUGAGGAGAUGAACGGCCACAUUGGGACUGGGACAUGGCCCAAACUUCUACGGGAGGCAGCAGGGGGGAAUCGUCCGAAAUUGAGGAAAGGCUGACGGAGCAACGCCGCGUGAGUGAUGACGGCCUUCGGGUUUUAAAGCUCUGUUAAUCGGGACGCGGUACCGGAAUAGAAAGCCACGGCUAACUACGUGCCAGCCGCCGCGGUAAUUC
rnacentral:rRNA from 1 species